CAAGUAUACUGUGCACGUUGCUGUACCCACAACUAGGUGUUUGCACAACAUUCAUGUGUCUGCACCGUCUGGUUGACUCACACGGAUUUACGUGGGUCACUGGGUUGUCGAUACUAUACACCUCAGGGUUGUGGACAACAUUGAAAGAGCCCGCACACACCAUUACGCGUUAUCAUGCUGAAACUCGUGGUUCCGACGAUGUGCCAAAUGAGGUAUGACGUGUGGUCUCAAGACUUGGUCAAUGUACCGAGCAGCUGUGACACCAUUGCAUCUCCCUGGACCGAUGUGCUAGAAUACCACAAGCCCGACUCUCCGUGCAAAACCAAUUCCAUCCCACGCCAUGAUGCUAGGGUCACCCCACGAGUCUCUUCUCUCAACAUCACAAGCAUCUGAAUAUCGUUUCCCACGGCGUCGCCAUAAUCUCACUCUACUAUCUGCUGUUGAAAGUGGUGCCGAUGCAGGUGUGUGUUGCCCAGUGUAGAAGUUUCAAAUGUCGACGCACGGUGUCCGCAUUUAUGUCGCUGGUUUGUCCCAAUGGUGUGACGAGCUGUUUCCACAGCAGCAACAAAGCGAUGUUGAACAUGUUGUCAGGCAAUAUGACGAUCUUGAUGUGCCCCUUUGGUCUUCCACUACGUGGUCGGUCGUCUGUAGUGUUGCUGGCCAUGUACCGUUCCUGAAGUUUGUAUAUGGUUCUGACGUUGACUUGAUAGGCAUUGGCAAUCUGUCGGGCGGUUUGUCUAGCUUGCAAUCAUCCAAGGGCUUGGUUUUGCUGAUCUCUUGUCAAUCUUAGCAUGUCAUAGCAAUUCAACACCGAAUGGACUGUCUCCGUUCUGGGUGGAUUUUGAUAGGGCAAGAAAUGGGGAAACGCACGUGCUUUUCAAUUUGUAUGGAACACACGUGCAUCAAAGUACCAUGGCCGUAAUACGUUUGGGUGAUCGGUUUUUGUACUCACCUGCUUUGUUUUGGGUCAUCAAAUGGCAGUUUUUUUGACGAGGUAAUGUUACAUUUAACGUUUUUUGACAAUACUUACCUAUAUAUUUUAAUGACAAUUAUUCAUGCAAUUGUACUUCAGGAUGACGUUUCUUUUGCAGUUCAGUAUAUUAUAUAACCCUUUAUGAUGGUACUUCUGCCCAAAGUGAGUGAGAUGAAAGAUUUGUCAAAGUCAUUUCCAUAGCCACAAGAAGUAUCUCGAGUUUACAGUUCUGACUGUACAGGUGUUUAUGCAUCGCGGUGAUGAUAACAGUUGAUAACAGGUGGGCAUGCUCCACCGCUGGCACAUGUCAUAAACACAUGGAAAGGCAAGUCAACUGUACACCUAACAAACAGCAUGGUUGAUGAUACCUCACUAUCUAGAAACCAAAGGAUGGACGUGCAGGAGUAAAAAAAGUAAGAUGACUGUUAGAAAAUGCAAGUCACCCUUCUUGUCAUGCGACAUUGUGGAGGCUAUACUUGUCCCUCUCAAUCCUUGUGUCCAUCUCUAUCUUUAUGCAUAGAUUUAGAUAUGAAUCACAUGAAUUGGGCUUUACGCUUGUCCUUAGGUAUAGUGCUGUACAAUGUUGAAGAAUGAAUAAAAUGUUGUGUAAAA